rnacentral:rRNA from 1 species
AUUGAACGCUGGCGGCAUGCCUUACACAUGCAAGUCGAACGGCAGCACGGGAGCAAUCCUGGUGGCGAGUGGCGAACGGGUGAGUAAUAUAUCGGAACGUGCCCAGUAGUGGGGGAUAGCCCGGCGAAAGCCGGAUUAAUACCGCAUACGACCUGAGGGUGAAAGCGGGGGAUCGCAAGACCUCGCGCUAUUGGAGCGGCCGAUAUCAGAUUAGCUAGUUGGUGGGGUAAAGGCCUACCAAGGCUACGAUGGAUAGGGGUUCUGAGAGGAAGGUCCCCCACAUUGGAACUGAGACACGGUCCAAACUCCUACGGGAGGCAGCAGUGAGGAAUAUUGGGUCAAUGGACGCGAGUCUGAACCAGCCAUGCCGCGUGUGGGAAGAAGGCCUU